rnacentral:rRNA from 1 species
UACGAAGGGGGCUAGCGUUGCUCGGAAUUACUGGGCGUAAAGCGCGUGUAGGCGGCUUGGCAAGUCGGGUGUGAAAGCCCUCAGCUCAACUGAGGAAGUGCGCCCGAAACUGCUUAGCUUGAGUACCGGAGAGGAUGGUGGAAUUCCCGAAGUAGAGGUGAAAUUCGUAGAUAUCGGGAGGAACACCGGUGGCGAAGGCGACCAUCUGGACGGAUACUGACGCUGAGACGCGAAAGCGUGGGUAGCAAACAGG